rnacentral:tRNA from 4 species
GCACCCGUAGCUCAGCUGGAUAGAGUACCUGACUACGAAUCAGGUGGUCGGAGGUUCGAAUCCUUCCGGGUGCGCCA